rnacentral:rRNA from 1 species
ACGUAGGACGCAAGCGUUAUCCGGAGUUACUGGGCGUAAAGCGCGGGCAGGCGGCUCAAUCAGUCUGAUGUGAAAGCGCCCGGCUCAACCGGGCGAGGCCAUUGGAAACUGUUGAGCUGGAGGGCAGUAGAGGCAGGCGGAAUUCCGGGUGGAGUGGUGAAAUGCGUAGAGAUCCGGAGGAACCCCAGAGGCGAAGGCGGCCUGCUGGGCUGCACCUGACGCUGAACCGCGAAAGCCAGGGGAGCGAACGGGA